AAACUCCUACUAUGUACGUUAAAGAGGUUUUAUUGAGUCAACAUGUUUUUGAAGGGAAUCUAACUCUUUUUGUGGAUUUGAUACUCAUAAUUAUUUGAGGACAUGAAACAAAAAGGCGAUACCCACCUGUGAGAGAAGCGGGUUCAAAAAUAAUCUCUUAUAGCGGCAAAGUGGGAGUUUG
rnacentral:other from 1 species